CUUGAGCAAUUCAAAUCACUUGAAAGAUUUUGCAAACUGCAUUUAUUAUAAAUCGCCGAUUGGAACUAUUGAAAUAAUCACAUUGAGUAAUCUAUAGUUAUAUUUAUAUAGAUGUGCAAAUUACGCUUAGAGCUGUUACACUAUUUGAUUCGCGGCCAAUCGAUGCUGGAUUAGAACCAACAGUAGCAAAAGAAAAAAAUCGCCAAGCAUUUACGGAAACCUGUUAGAUUUUUUGAUUGAAAACUCUAUAUUCUGAUAAAAACAAAACAACUUUACGUAAAAAUCGUUAGAAGUCCCUGAAAAAGUGUCAUUGUAUCAAUAAUUUUACCAUGCCUCUUUUUGGUAAAAAAGAUUCAGGAAAAAAGGCCAGAAAAGAUCCUAAAGAAUAUGAUAAACAACCAUGCAUCGAGGAUAAAUAUACCAUAAAGGAACUUUUAGGUACCGGCGCAUUUUCUGAGGUUCGAUUUUGCGAACUUCGCGAAACAGGCCAAGCUUUUGCUGUGAAAAUAAUCGACAAAAAAGCUCUCAAAGGAAAAGAGGAUUCCCUCGAAAAUGAAAUUCGAGUUUUAAAGAGAUUUAGUGCUAACAAAUCAGAUCCCAAUGCAGAUAAAAAUAUAUUUACUCAUCCUAAUAUCGUUCAGCUUUAUGAAACCUAUGAAGAUAAAGCUAAAGUAUAUUUGAUUAUGGAACUUGUUACUGGUGGCGAAUUGUUUGACAGAAUUGUAGAAAAAGGUUCUUACACGGAAAAAGAUGCAUCUUGUCUUAUCCGACAAGUUUUGGAAGCCGUUGAUUAUAUGCACGAACAAGGGGUUGUCCAUCGUGAUUUGAAACCUGAAAAUCUACUCUAUUAUAGUACAGCAGAAGACAGCAAAAUAAUGAUAAGCGAUUUCGGUUUAUCGAAAAUGGAGGAUUCAGGUUUUAUGGCAACAGCUUGUGGAACUCCAGGCUAUGUAGCUCCGGAAGUUUUGGCUCAAAAGCCGUAUGGAAAAGCAGUAGAUAUAUGGAGCAUAGGAGUUAUUUCCUACAUUUUACUCUGUGGGUAUCCCCCAUUUUACGACGAAAACGAUGCUAAUCUCUUCGCUCAAAUACUCAAAGGUGAAUUUGAAUUCGACUCUCCUUAUUGGGACGAAAUCAGCGAUUCUGCGAAGGAUUUCAUCAAGAAUCUUAUGUGCGUCAAUGUAGAGAAACGGUUUACAUGCAAACAAGCCUUGGCACACGCUUGGAUAUCUGGUAACGCAGCAAGUAGUAAAAAUAUUCACGGAACCGUUUCCGAGCAACUUAAGAAAAAUUUUGCAAAAUCUCGGUGGAAGCAAGCCUAUCAUGCAGCAACCGUCAUACGCCAAAUGCAACGAAUGGCUCUAAGCAGCGGAUCUUAUGGACGAAGCUCUUCUCAGAUAAGCAACACAUCUGCCGAAACUUUAAUUAAAACAGAUGCAGCUUCUACAAGUAAAUAAACUCUUCUAAAUUCAUAUGUGCCGUUAAGCACUGUAGUCUAGAUAGAUUUCAACAAAGUUGUAGUUCUAAUAUGUACAAGUAUGCGUGAUCAGAAUUCUGGUAUGAGAUAGCGAAGAAAUAAUAUAUUAACUGCAGAAUAUGAUUCCGUUUAUUGUGUAAAAUUUUCCUAGAACGAUAAAUAUAACAAUAAUGUUUCCUGUGUUUUCA